AUAUGUCUAUCACGGUUAAUUUGAUUUUGUUAGAUGAUUUAGUUUGAUUGAUGGUUUUGCAGGUGUUGCUUCAUUUUAAUACCUUGAUUUUGAAGAUAAUUGUUUAUGAAUGUGAACCAAUUAUGUUGUUUUAUUGUUUUUUGAUAUGAAUAUUAGGUUUAAAUUUAUGUUUUUGUGGAAUUGUGUAGUUCAUCUAUAAUGAUUUUGGAUUUGUUUUGAUGUUUG
rnacentral:lncRNA from 1 species